rnacentral:tRNA from 1 species
CCAAGGUACUGCGGGUGGAUCACCGGGAGUUGAUCUACCGGAUACAUUACAACAGGGGGGUGAUCCGGUUCCAUGCCGGAGACUUCGGG